AGCUAUUUAGUUUAUUUUUAAAAUACCUAUUUGUGGUGUAGGAGAUUGUAUUGGCUU
rnacentral:tRNA from 1 species